ensembl:lncRNA
AGUGGGUGUGUGCAUGUGCGCAUGUGUGUGGGUGUGUGAUUGUGUGCAGCAGCAAAGCCUUAAACAUGGACAUUUCUAUGACCUGCAAGAUAAACAACGCUGAAUUCCUGAAACGUGCUGGCUGGUAAAGAAAAAGUGGGAAUGUGUUGGAGGGACUUCUGAAGAAUUUGAAAUAAUACAGUCAAUGAGAGAGAUACCUCACAGGAUCACAUAAAGAUUUCAGGUGUUAUGGCACAGGAUGAACAGAGAGAUGUGCAGAAAAGGGCCUGAGGUAACUGUCAGACUGUCAGUUAAUCAUCUCCAUUAGCCGCUUCAGUCGCACACCAAUCGCAGGGCUGACAACGAUGGACACUCACAUCCCUACAGGCGAUUUGGAGUCACCAAUUAACCUGAUCCCCAAAGCAUGUCGUUAGACUGUGGGAGGAAGCCACAGUACCCGGACAGAACCCAGGCAGACAUGGGAUGAACAUGUAGCCUCCUAAAGGCCGCUAGGUGGAGUCAAACCCAGGAUCGUCUUGCUGAGAGGCGACAGCGCUAACCACCACACCACCUGCCGCUCCUGAGCUACUUCCAUCAUUCUAGGUAUAUUUGAAUGGGUAAGUAACACAAAUACAUUUUUGUUAAAUUACAUGGAUACUGAUAAUAAUAGCUGUAGUGUAUGUAGUAGAAUAACAAUAAAAGUGGCAACAUACGUAUAUAUGGAGCCUUUAUUUUAGAUAAUAAAUGAUUCAAUCGUCUUGAUAGAAACUGUUCAGUUUUAAAAAGAAAAGAAAAGCCUCUUUGAAUAGCAUGGUGUUUGAUGUGGGCCUUUUCCCCCUCAUGACAUGUUUGAAACAUUUUCUCUUGAGCUCUGACCUAUGCAGAGCAUCCAUAACCUCUUUAUAAAGAAUUUUAGUUAUAUCUUUAAGCAAGGCAUUGGAGCUAGCAUGGUACCAUGUCUUUCCAGGAUUAAAGGUGGGGUGUUCAUAUUUUCUCACUGGUUUGAGAUAGGUUCAAAAAUUUGAAACAAUUGAGUGAUCAUUGACCCGACCAAUCGGCGUUUUGAAGAAGAAAUCAUACAUUCUCCUUUUCAUAAAUAGCCACUUGCAUCUUAGCAUAGAAAUCGUGUCACGAGAUGUGCUCUGUAGCCCAAAAAUAAAAAGUUGGAGAAGUCCCCCGUCAAAAGGUUUCUACAAUUUGCCCAUGAACAGUCUGAGACGUGGGAAUAAAGAAUCCCAUAGUGACAAACCUUCUGUCUGUUAUUCUAAACCUGUAUUAAAGGCAUUCCUCCGCUGACAGCGUGCUAUGCUGUCUGUGCAUGAAAGACUUUUAGGAGUGCCUUAUCACAGCGUUAAAAGUGUCUUUGUUUAGAGAACCUGCCUCGUAAAUUUGUCCCGCCCUUGUUGUCCAAAAUGGUCCUGAACCUGUUUUCACUGACACCUUGUUUGCUCCAGCAGCUUAAAGUAACCAUUCCCACAUGUCAGAGUUAAAGUUUAGUAGGCACAGUCCUCUAAUGUGCCUGUAUGGGCAGGAAUGAACUAGCCAACAAGUUGCCUGUCUGCUACAGUGAGGGAACGCUUGAUGGGAGGGGAUAUCACAUUCCUUGUCGUUUUCACACACAGACGGAACAAGCACAAGAGGAAUGAAUGCUAUCUUAUCAGAGCGUGCACUCGAGGUGAUGCAUAGGCUGUGUUACACCAUGUGUGUCUGCAAUGACUCCUUUGUUUUCAUCUGCUUGCCGUUUGGGUCAGCAGGUUAAUGCUGCUGGGCUGUUGCUUUGAACAUGUGGAAUCUUCUGUUUAACACUCAGGACGCUGUGCAGCACCUCCUCCGCCUCCCUCAGGUUUCCGCCAGUGCCACUGAACAUUCAAUAGACUUUCGUAUAUUGGCCAGAGUCCGGGAGAGAGCGCUGAAGGGGGUUUAUCUCAACAGUCUUGGGGACGGAUGGAAUGAUGAGCUAGCCUUUUAGAGGCUGCCUAACACUAGUGGACCUUAUUGCUCUCACAAUCCAACUGGAUACUUGGAUGCGGCAGCGUCGGAGAGCCGAACUACAGGGUUCCAUCACCAGUUCAUUCACAGAGUGGCCGAUCCCCUCCAGCCAGAAGAAACUCCAGGAGUUCCUUGGCUUUGCAAAUUUCUACCGUUCAUUCGAAACUAUAGCCAGACGGCGUUGCCCCUAACUCGACUCACCUCCCCUACGGUGGAAUUUUCGUGGAUCCCCAAAGCCUGCCUGUAACGGAAUGGUUCACUUCAGCCCCCAUCCCCGCCCUGCCAGACGAAAGUCGCCAGUUUUUGGUCAAGUGGGACGCCUCCGACACCAGCGUAAAGGCAGUGUUAUCCCAACACUCAACCCCUGACUCUAAGCUCUGCCUGUGUGCUUUUUUCUACCGCCCCCUUUACCUGUACGUGCGUCACUGGCUCUGGAGGACUGAAGACAUUGGCUGGAGGGGUCAGUCCACACUUCCAUUGUGUGGACCGACCACCGAAAUCUUGAGCCUCACACAGACCUCGUGUUGGAUUACUACAACCGGUUCCUGUUCCCCACAUGCCCUGGUCGCACAUGGCACUGGACUUUGUCACAGGAUUUCCCUCGUUGGAUAACAAUACAGUUAUGCUGAUCCUUGUGGAAGACGAUUGCCAUCCCGUAUGUUCAGAGCAAUUUUCGCUGAUGUUCUACUUCGGGAACAAACAGCUAGCCGACCGCCGCAGCACACCCGUCCCCACAUACCUCCCCAGCCAACGUGUCUGGCUUUCCGCUAAGGACAUACCCCUGCGCACUGAAUCUAAGAAACUCUCUCCCAGAUACAUUGGUCCUUUCCCCAUUACUUCAAUUGUCAACCCACUCACAGUUAAAUUGUGAUUGCUCUUGCAAUCCCUGAGGAUCCACCAGUGUUCCAUGUGUCCCUUCUGAAGCCGUCAUCGACGUCGCCUGGAUGUCCGCCGGCAAGACAGGGGUCUAAUACCCUGUAGUUUGGCGUCGAACCUCAGGUUUCACCUGGCCGAAGAAGUCUGCCAGCUUGUUCCUCGGAGAUCAGCUGUGCAACUCAUCAGCUCCUGUGUCGAGCCUGCCUGCCUGCCUGCCUGUCUGCCUUCUAGCCGCGGAAGCCCCAAGUCCACCUUCCGGGUAGAACCAGAGCAGAGCACACGGGAUUGCAUACAUCGUCACGUGACUGUUUCCUGCUGGCUUUUCUGGAACUCUCAACAUGACUUUUCAUGUUUGAUUCCUGUUACCUUUCCUCCGCCACAAACAAUAA